rnacentral:rRNA from 1 species
UAUUGGCGAACGGGUGAGUAAUACAUAAACAAUCUACCCAUACGACUGGGAUAACCGUUGGAAACGAUGGCUAAUACCGGAUAGGUGGAAAGAGGGCAUCUUCUUUUCAUUAAAGUUGGGCUACAACACGUGUGGAUGAGUUUAUGGCGCAUUAGCUAGUUGGCGGGGUAACGGCCCACCAAGGCGAUGAUGCGUAGCCGACCUGAGAGGGUGACCGGCCACGCUGGGACUGAGACACGGCCCAUACUCCUACGGGAGGCAGCAGUAAGGAAUUUUCGGCGAUGGGGGAAACCCUGACCGAGCGCCGCCGCGUGAGUGAUGAACGCCUUCUGGUUGUAAAGCUCUGUUGUAAGGGAAGAAUGGCAAUGAUAGGGAAUGAU